rnacentral:rRNA from 1 species
UACGGAGGGUGCAAGCGUUAUCCGGAUUUACUGGGUUUAAAGGGUGUGUAGGCGGGUCUUUAAGUCAGUGGUGAAAUCUCCGAGCUCAACUUGGAAACUGCCAUUGAUACUAUUGAUCUUGAAUUUUGUUGAGGUAGGCGGAAUAAGUCAUGUAGCGGUGAAAUGCAUAGAUAUGACUUAGAACACCAAUUGCGAAGGCAGCUUGCUAAACAAAUAUUGACGCUGAGGCACGAAAGCGUGGGGAGCAAACAGG